rnacentral:rRNA from 1 species
GUGGGGAAUCUUGCGCAAUGGGCGAAAGCCUGACGCAGCCAUGCCGCGUGAAUGAUGAAGGUCUUAGGAUUGUAAAAUUCUUUCACCGGGGACGAUAAUGACGGUACCCGGAGAAGAAGCCCCGGCUAACUUCGUGCCAGCAGCCGCGGUAAUACGAAGGGGGCUAGCGUUGCUCGGAAUUACUGGGCGUAAAGGGAGCGUAGGCGGAUAGUUCAGUCAGAGGUGAAAGCCCAGGGCUCAACCUUGGAAUUGCCUUUGAUACUGGCUGUCUUGAGUAUGGGAGAGGUUAGCGGAACUCCGAGUGUAGAGGUGAAAUUCGUAGAUAUUCGGAAGAACACCAGUGGCGAAGGCGGCUAACUGGCCCAUUACUGACGCUGAGGCUCGAAAGCGUGGGGAGCAAACAGGAUUAGAUACCCUAGUAGUCC